rnacentral:rRNA from 1 species
AGAGUUUGUUUCUGGCUCAGGAUGAACGCUGGCGGCGUGCCUAACACAUGCAAGUCGAACGAAGCGCCCGCGCGGAUUCCCUCGAGAUGAAGCGCGAAUGACUGAGUGGCGGACGGGUGAGUCACGCGUGGGCAACCUGCCCCGUGCCGGGGGACAACAGCCGGAAACGGCUGCUAAUACCGCAUGAUCCGGAAGGGCCGCAUGGCCUUUCCGGGAAAGCUCCGGCGGCACGGGAUGGGCCCGCGUCUGAUUAGUUUGUUGGCGGGGUAACGGCCCACCAAGACUGCGAUCAGCAGCCGGCCUGAGAGGGCGGCCGGCCACAUUGGGACUGAGACACGGCCCAGACUCCUGCGGGAGGCAGCAGUGGGGAAUAUUGCACAAUGGGGGAAACCCUGAUGCAGCGACGCCGCGUGGGCGACGAAGCGCUCCGGCGCGUAAAGCCCUGUCAGCAGGGAAGAACAAAGACAGUACCUGACCAAGAAGCCCCGGCUAACUACGUGCCAGCAGCCGCGGUAAUACGUAGGGGGCAAGCGUUAUCCGGAUUCACUGGGCGUAAAGGGAGCGCAGGCGGCACGGCAAGUCUGGUGUGAAAGCCCGGGGCCCAACCCCGGGACUGCAUUGGAAACUGCCGGGCUGGAGUGCCGGAGGGGUAAGCGGAAUUCCUGGUGUAGCGGUGAAAUGCGCAGAUAUCAGGAAGAACACCGGUGGCGUAGGCGGCUUACUGGACGGCAACUGACGCUGAGGCUCGAAAGCGUGGGGAGCAAACAGGAUUAGAUACCCUGGUAGUCCACGCCGUAAACG